rnacentral:rRNA from 1 species
UACGAAGGGGGCUAGCGUUGCUCGGAAUCACUGGGCGUAAAGGGUGCGUAGGCGGGUCUUUAAGUCAGGGGUGAAAUCCUGGAGCUCAACUCCAGAACUGCCUUCGAUACUGGGAGUCUUGAGUUCGGGAGAGGUGAGUGGAACUGCGAGUGUAGAGGUGAAAUUCGUAGAUAUUCGCAAAGAACACCAGUGGCGAAGGCGGCUCACUGGCCCGAUACUGACGCUGAGG